UGAACAGGGCUUGAAGUUAACACCCGCCACCCGCUAAAUGUGGGUUGAAUUUGGCAGUGGCGUGUAACUCGUUCACUCUUACUAGACACUUUGGCGGGUAACCUUUUGGUCGCAUUUUCUAUGAAUAUAACUAUUUUAGUUCACAAAAGGAAGCUGAAGUAGUUAAGUUGAUUCAAGGUGAUACUACAUGAUACUACAACUCCCAUGAGCACUGGGUACAAACUAUAUGCUCAUCCCAUUCGCCAUGUACUUCGCCCUCUUGCGCUUGGUUCCUCUCAGUAAGAGAAGACGAACUCGGCUGAAAUCAAAUAACAGCCAAACAUGGCGCCACAUACAAAUGUACCUAUACUGAUUGUGGCAGAUUAGAGACACCCCAUGCCAGUGAGAGCACCGAUUCAGAUUCUCAAGUUCUGAUUGGAAAACACAAUGAUUGCAGGACCAAAGACAGAAAACAACAAUGGUUUGGCAAAGGAGUAUGAACUUCCACCAGACAGUUCUGUGACUUUGACAGCCUAUGCUGCUAUUCCUUUAGGCCUGUGGUAGCUUGCUAGGUGGACUUUGGAGUGGUCCUGCUGCUACUGAGAGUCUGUCUUCAAUUGCAAUAAUCCCUCAAAAUUGACCCUGGAAUUAGGGUUCAGACCCAGUACCACUUAUACCCAAAUAGGUUGCUCCCAAGGCCAGACAAAAAGCCCCAGUCCCCCCUCCAGGCCUCUCCACUGGAGAAAGAGAUGUGAUGGAGAAAGAGACCAGUCAUAGCAUCAUUAUAAGAAGACAAGUGUGUCCUUGAGCUAUGGCUGAAGAAAACUAUUUUUGUUGAAUGUUGUUGAUCAGUGAAAAUAAAAGCUUUUUACUGCCAUGUAA